rnacentral:rRNA from 1 species
AUUGAACGCUGGCGGCAUGCUUUACACAUGCAAGUCGAACGGUAACAGGUUAAGCUGACGAGUGGCGAACGGGUGAGUAAUGCAUCGGAACGUGCCCGAUCGUGGGGGAUAACGCAGCGAAAGCUGCGCUAAUACCGCAUACGAUCUGAGGAUGAAAGCGGGGGACCGUAAGGCCUCGCGCGAUCGGAGCGGCCGAUGUCAGAUUAGGUAGUUGGUGGGGUAAAGGCUCACCAAGCCAACGAUCUGUAGCUGGUCUGAGAGGACGACCAGCCACACUGGGACUGAGACACGGCCCAGACUCCUACGGGAGGCAGCAGUGGGGAAUUUUGGACAAUGGGCGAAAGCCUGAUCCAGCCAUUCCGCGUGCAGGAUGAAGGCCCUCGGGUUGUAAACUGCUUUUGUACAGAACGAAAAGGUUUCUACUAAUACUAGGAGCUCAUGACGGUACUGUAAGAAUAAGCACCGGCUAACUACGUGCCAGCCGCCGCGGUAA